UACGUAGGUGGCAAGCGUUGUCCGGAUUUAUUGGGUUUAAAGGGUGCGUAGGCGGCAUUUUAAGUCAGUGGUGAAAUACUUCAGCUUAACUGGAGAGGUGCCAUUGAUACUGGGAUGCUUGAGUACUGAUGAGGUAGGCGGAAUGGACGGUGUAGCGGUGAAAUGCUUAGAUAUCGGGAGGAACACCUGUGGCGAAAGCGGCGCACUGGACCACAACUGACGCUGAGGCGCGAAAGCUAGGGGAGCAAACAGG
rnacentral:rRNA from 1 species